AGUAUUGUGGUGACAAUAUCUGUAUGCCUGAAGUCUUCUGAAGUCUCAGAGUACACUGAAUUACUUGCUGAUGAAAUAAGACCAGAAGCUGCUGUGGAGUAGCAUGGUUAAUGUACUCCAUGCUAUCAGGGGACUCUGGAACAGAAGAACAAAGACUCAUUGUGGUGCAGCUAAAGAAGGAUGGUUUCAAUCUCUCAACUUGUCAUAAUUAAACAUAUUUACAAGUAUAAGCUUUUACAAUAUAAAUUAGAUUGAUUACAAUCUGCCCUCUGACAUGGGAUUUAAAAUCUAAUUGUUUACAAUACCGUAAAUUACUGCCCUAUUUUAAUCCAUAAUGAAUUGCAGUAUUGUUUCUAAGUGAGUUAUUUGAUAAUCUUUAGCAGAUGAUUUCCCUCCCUGUAUCUUCAGAAGUUAAAAUUCUAAAGCUUUUAAAUUAUAAUGCACAGUUAUGUAGCAUUGUUCACAAUCUUUGUUAGUGCUUAUUUGGUGACUAAUUGAUACAGUUCUCUAUAUAUGGUAUGUAAUUAUCUCAACCAUGUAGCAGGACAAUGCAGACAUCUUAGAAAACACAGAUAAUGUUUUUGCUGUCUCAAUUUGUUAGCAGUGGGUGAUUUCUUUUUUUUCCCACUGUUGUAAAAUAUAACUGUUUUAAUUACUGCAGAGUGAAGUAAUGGUGAGUAGAAAAUCAUGUGUUGCUGUCCCUUGCAAAGUUAGUGCUUUUGAUCUCCCUGACACAUUUCAAAAUUGAGGAUAAGAUGGAAGCUUUGCUUGUCCCAUUCUUGGAAUGGGACAAAACAGCCUUACCACUUCAGAAGGAGCUCAAAAAGAAAUUAUGAUUCAGAGGACUGUCUGAGUCAUAUUUCCCCUGAGCUGUAGCAUUGCACAAGUGGGGAGUAUGCUGUCGGCCCUUUGCCAGAUGAAGCACGUUCCCUCUCUCCUGUCCAGUCAGCUCUGUUUGCUGACACAGGAAGGAGGAAAAUGACGGGUAUGUUUACUUUCAACCCAGUUUCCCCGAGCUUCUUUCCUUGUUCAUGGAAGGAAACAAUGCUUCGUCAAGGCUUGCUUGUUAGUGCUCAUGCUGCUGCUUUCAGGAGGGAUGGUGUGAUAAUACAGUAGAAUGCAAGAGCACCAUGCAACUUCCAUAAGGAGCUUUUUCUUCCAGCUGAUGCUUGGUGUGUUAGGCAUCUGCUUUACUGUUCAUCUGUUGGUGGGACUCUACUCUCUUGCCAGAUCUGAAACUCAUGCUUGUUCCUUGGGCACUCGCUUAUCCAAUAUAAAUUAGAAGCAAAAUCUGUUGCAGUGAAGAGAAUAUAUCAGAAACACUGAUGUGACUUCAAAGUACUGAGUCCCGUUUGAGGCAGAUCUAGCAAGACCAGUAAUCACCAAGUAAAAUAUGAAACAAAACUGAGUUCUUAGUGAUUAUUUUCAAAAAAUGAGUUGUACUGACACACAAGCCAACAGAAAUAACUACUUCCUGUGUGAUGAAUUAAAAAAUGUAGUAAUAACCAAAUCUGAUCAGCUAAUCAAACUCUACAUUGUCUUGUAACAGAUUUAGUCAGCAGAUCUUUUACAUCAGCCGUGGUUUACUUGUAAAUAAUAGAAGUUGAAGUAUUCAUUUGCUACCAUUAGAUCAGCAAUGCAAAGGUCCAUUGUUCUUAAUGGUUAAAGAUGUUAAUCAUUCUUGUGAUCUAAUCAGAAUCAAGCAUUUACAGUUCCUAACUUGCUAGCAACAGCAAUUACAUGUGAUGUCUGCACUGAGUACUAUUUAUUUUCCUCCCCCACUAAUGAAGGAAGAAAAUAUAAAGCAGAUAGGGUAGCAGAUCUUGAAAAUACUCAUUUCAGUGUCAGACGGUUAUACUUCUACAUUUAUAGUGACAUUUUAAGAGCAUUUUACCUGAACCGUAUAUUUAAGGGACAAAUUACACACCUAUCAGUACAAAAGGAAGUACACAAGGAGAUAUCGAUUGGUUGAUUCUAGCAUGUAGGAAUGCUCGGGCAAAUAGCUGCUCACCAACAUGAAUAUAGAUUGUGCAAUCCAGUUUUAAGUGUGGGACUUGGAAUUCCAUCCUGCGUGAUCCUUACACCUACCCUUGUUUCAGAAAGAGCUUUCACAGAUUCACAAGUCAUUUUCACAGAAACAAAACUUUGUUAUAAAAUGCAGUAGAUGAUGAUAAAGCCAGAAAAAAAAAUGUUGCAAUAAACUGUAGCAAUGGAAGACUGUCGCUGAAUAUUUGUUCUGUCUCCUGAAACUCUACUGUAAGGGCUGUCAUGUUACUGCUAAGCUUUUAUGCUUGCCAAGCUUUACUUUUUAUCACUUUGUGUAAAAUGAAAUACAGAGUAAUAAAUUACCCUUAUCAUGAUUAUCACCAUUACAGUGUGCCCAUGUUUAUAUGAACCUUAAAAGUCACUUUGAAGGGUACAAUAAAACUGGUAGAUC
ensembl:lncRNA